GUUAUUUUGGGGUCAAAGUUCUUCUAAAGUUUUAAAGGAGUUUGAUACGUCAAAGUUCUGCUCAAAUCAUUUUCAUAAGUAACCGGUUCUGGGCAAACAUCAGAGAAAACGCUCGUGGACUUUCAACAACGAUCAACAACAAAAGGCGACGAGCUAGACCAUUUAGGAGGGAAGGCUAUGGAGUGACAGAUUAC